GCGAGGGUAGCCAAGUGGCCAAAGGCGGGUGACUCAAGAUCAUCUCUCGCAGGAGUUCGCGGGUUCGAAUCCCUCCCCUCGCA
rnacentral:tRNA from 1 species